rnacentral:rRNA from 1 species
UACGUAGGGUGCGAGCGUUAAUCGGAAUUACUGGGCGUAAAGCGUGCGCAGGCGGCUUUGUAAGACAGGUGUGAAAUCCCCGGGCUUAACCUGGGAACUGCGCUUGUGACUGCAAGGCUUGAGUGUGGCAGAGGGGGGUGGAAUUCCACGUGUAGCAGUGAAAUGCGUAGAGAUGUGGAGGAACACCGAUGGCGAAGGCAGCCCCCUGGGUCAACACUGACGCUCAUGCACGAAAGCGUGGGUAGCAAACAGG